UACUCCUACGGGAGGCAGCAGUGGGGAAUAUUGGACAAUGGGCGCAAGCCUGAUCCAGCCAUACCGCGUGGGUGAAGAAGGCCUUCGGGUUGUAAAGCCCUUUUGUUGGGAAAGAAAUCCAGCUGGCUAAUACCCGGUUGGGAUGACGGUACCCAAAGAAUAAGCACCGGCUAACUUCGUGCCAGCAGCCGCGGUAAUACGAAGGGUGCAAGCGUUACUCGGAAUUACUGGGCGUAAAGCGUGCGUAGGUGGUCGUUUAAGUCCGUUGUGAAAGCCCUGGGCUCAACCUGGGAACUGCAGUGGAUACUGGACGACUAGAGUGUGGUAGAGGGUAGCGGAAUUCCUGGUGUAGCAGUGAAAUGCGUAGAGAUCAGGAGGAACAUCCAUGGCGAAGGCAGCUACCUGGACCAACACUGACACUGAGGCACGAAAGCGUGGGGAGCAAACAGGAUUAGAUACCCUGGUAGUCCACGCCCUAAACGAUGCGAACUGGAUGUUGGGUGCAAUUUGGCACGCAGUAUCGAAGCUAACGCGUUAAGUUCGCCGCCUGGGGAGUACGGUCGCAAGACUGAAACUCAAAUGAAUUGACGGA
rnacentral:rRNA from 1 species